rnacentral:rRNA from 1 species
GACGAACGCUGGCGGCGUGCUUAACACAUGCAAGUCGAACGGAAAGGCCCUGCUUUUGUGGGGUGCUCGAGUGGCGAACGGGUGAGUAACACGUGAGUAACCUGCCCUUGACUUUGGGAUAACUUCAGGAAACUGGGGCUAAUACUGGAUAGGAGCUCCUGCUGCAUGGUGGGGGUUGGAAAGUUUCGGCGGUUGGGGAUGGACUCGCGGCUUAUCAGCUUGUUGGUGGGGUAGUGGCUUACCAAGGCUUUGACGGGUAGCCGGCCUGAGAGGGUGACCGGCCACAUUGGGACUGAGAUACGGCCCAGACUCCUACGGGAGGCAGCAGUGGGGAAUAUUGCACAAUGGGCGGAAGCCUGAUGCAGCAACGCCGCGUGCGGGAUGACGGCCUUCGGGUUGUAAACCGCUUUCGCCUGUGACGAAGCGUGGGUGACGGUAAUGGGUAAAGAAGCACCGGCUAACUACGUG